rnacentral:rRNA from 1 species
CACGUAGGGUGCAAGCGUUGUCCGGAUUUAUUGGGCGUAAAGGGCUCGUAGGCGGUUCGACAAGUCGGGUGUGAAACCUCCAGGCUCAACCUGGAGUCGCCACUCGAAACUGUUGUGACUAGAGUCCGGUAGGGGAGCAUGGAAUUCCUGGUGUAGCGGUGGAAUGCGCAGAUAUCAGGAGGAACACCAGUGGCGAAGGCGAUGCUCUGGGCCGGUACUGACGCUGAGGAGCGAAAGCAUGGGGAGCGAACAGGAUUAGAUACCCUGGUAGUCCAUGCCGUAAACGUUGGGCACUAGGUGUGGGACCCCCUCAACGGGUUCCGUGCCGUAGCUAACGCAUUAAGUGCCCCGCCUGGGGAGUACGGCCGCAAGGCUAAA